rnacentral:rRNA from 1 species
AUUGAACGCUGGCGGCAGGCCUAACACAUGCAAGUCGAGCGGUAGCACAGGGAGCUUGCUCCUGGGUGACGAGCGGCGGACGGGUGAGUAAUGUCUGGGAAACUGCCUGAUGGAGGGGGAUAACUACUGGAAACGGUAGCUAAUACCGCAUAACGUCGCAAGACCAAAGAGGGGGACCUUCGGGCCUCUUGCCAUCAGAUGUGCCCAGAUGGGAUUAGCUAGUAGGUGGGGUAAUGGCUCACCUAGGCGACGAUCCCUAGCUGGUCUGAGAGGAGGGCCGGCCACACUGGAACGGAAACACGGACCAGACGCCUACGAGAGGCAGCAGUGGGGAAUAUUGCACAGUGGGCGCAAACCUGAUGCAGCCAUGCCGCGUGUAUGAAGAAGGCCUUCGGGUUGUAAAGUACUUUCAGCGGGGAGGAAGGUGUUGAGGUUAAUAACCUCAGCAAUUGACGUUACCCGCAGAAGAAGCACCGGCUAACUCCGUGCCAGCAGCCGCCGUAA